rnacentral:rRNA from 1 species
CGUAGGGUGCGAGCGUUAAUCGGAAUUACUGGGCGUAAAGCGUGCGCAGGCGGUUUUGUAAGUCAGAUGUGAAAUCCCCGAGCUCAACUUGGGAACUGCGUUUGAAACUACAAGACUAGAAUAUGUCAGAGGGGGGUAGAAUUCCACGUGUAGCAGUGAAAUGCGUAGAGAUGUGGAGGAAUACCAAUGGCGAAGGCAGCCCCCUGGGAUAAUAUUGACGCUCAUGCACCGAAAGCGUGGGGAGCAAACAGGAUUAGAUACCCUGGUAGUCCACGCCCUAAACGAUGUCUACUAGUUGUUGGUGGAGUAAAAUCCAUGAGUAACGCAGCUAACGCGUGAAGUAGACCGCCUGGGGAGUACGGUCGCAAGAUUA